rnacentral:lncRNA from 1 species
UCUGUGAUUGCACAAGUCAAGUUAUUAAUUGCCUGAGUGUUUCAUUCAUAACUUUAACCAAUUGCCUUCUCUCAUUAUCGAUUCUCUCUCUCUCUCUCUCCUUUCUGAUAUUCCCUGAAUCAAGACGUAUUAUCGAUGAUAUGGCACUUGUUUCUGGUGUUAUUUCACGAUGCUUUCUUUUGCUACUCCUGCCUAACUGAAAUGAACUUUCCGUUUCUUCACCUGAUCACCCCAGUCAUUGUCAUUUUAUAUUUCAUCGUUCAGUACAGCAGACAUUGAAUCAUUGCUACACUGUGCAGUUGAUGAUGAUGUUUCAGAGGCAGGAAUAGAUGGUGAUUUGGUCUUAUGGUCUUAUAGUUGUAUGAAAUGAUGGCCCUUAUCACCCAUCAUUUCAUCUACGAUGUCAUAGAAUGGCCAAGUGAUGGCUUCAGUUCCUGUUUUAAUUGAAAGGUCAGAGAUUCUUUUAUAACUGUAUAAAAGAUUUGCCCUUUUCUUGGAAACAUCGAUGGCAUCUAUGCAAUAUCCAUGAAAUCUGCUGCCAAAUUUCUUUUUUCUCUUUUUCUGAUUUGGCUUACAAAUGUUAUGCUCAUCAACUAUUGUCAGCAGAAGUUUGGUGGUAUCAUCUGUCCACUUGAAUGGAACUGAAACAUUUUUUGUAAUGCAUCCGUAUGACUAUUGAUUAAAACUUAACAAUUUUAACAGAGCUGAUAUACAUUUAAUUUAAAACAUAUAGCACUAAAUAUGGGUAAUUAAUUUCAUAUAACUUACCUACUUUUUCUCGAGACUGGCUUUAGUUUCAGUUAACUGUCUGUUUCAGCGAUUGGGAUUGGCUGUUUCUACUGUUUCAACAUUUUAUACUCCGCAAUAAUUUGGGACAGAAACAUUUUAUCUUAAAAAUUUGUCAAUAAAAUUUAUUUGAGCAUCCAUGCAUAAUACAUCACAAAUCACUGUAUCCUAUUUGUUAUGUUCAAAGUUUGAACAUAACGAGUAGGAUAAUAUUACAAAGAUUUGCUACCUUGUGUGAUCCGAUUCUGCUCUACGAGAGUUAAGAAAACGUUGAAUACAAUUUCUUGGGCGACGCCAUGUUGCUCAGAAGAAUGACAGAAACUGCAGAGGUGACUGACGAUCUGAUUUCAGAACUCGUUAUUUGUCUGAUCUGCCGAACACGACCUUCAGUCAGACAUAUAUCAGAACUCAUCGCCGAACUAUUAUUGUUCAGAUUUCUUAAGAAUUCUGAAUUGCCGAAUACGCCUAAUAGCUGUUCCUCCGUGAGGCAUUACGAGGUUUUUUCAUAUAUAUAAUAAUAUGAUCAGACAUCAUGAUUCUAGAAUUGUUUGUUUUCGAACAUAAAUGAUGAUGAUGAUAAAAAUUAUAGGCUUUAAUAAUAUAAAAAUAAGUAUAUAAAAUAGAUUUCAUGUUUGUAUAUAUAUGUUUGUGGACCAGAAAAUCUGUGAAAUGCUAUUAUAUCAAUAAAUCCAUUUAUGCACUAAUUAAUAAGUUGAUUUAAUUAAUACUUCUGUGUAUACUGUAUUUUCUUUUACAUACGUCCAAUGAUGGAGAUACUAAAUUAUGUUUCGAUUAACCUUC